rnacentral:rRNA from 1 species
GACGAACGCUGGCGGCGUGCUUAACACAUGCAAGUCGAACGGAAAGGCCCUGCUUUUGUGGGGUGCUCGAGUGGCGAACGGGUGAGUAACACGUGAGUAACCUGCCCUUGACUUUGGGAUAACUUCAGGAAACUGGGGCUAAUACCGGAUAGGAGCUCCUGCUGCAGGGUGGGGGUUGGAACGUUUCGGCGGUUGGGGAUGGACUCGCGGCUUAUCAGCUUGUUGGUGGGGUAGUGGCUUACCAAGGCUUUGACGGGUAGCCGGCCUGAGAGGGUGGCCGGGCACCAGGGGCCUGCGAGAGGGCGCAGUGUCCAACGGGGGGCAGUGGGGGGAAGCAUGACACAACGGGGGGGAGUGUGAGGUGGCAGCGCCGGGGUCGGGAUGAGGGCCUGUGGGGAGUGAACCGCUUUCGCCUGAGACGGAGCGUGAGUGACGGUAACGGGUGAAGAAGCACCGGCUAACUACGUG